ACAAGCAACGAAGGGCAACAGGAGGAUGCCUUGGCGACACAUGGCGAUGAAGGACGUGGCAAGCUGCGAAAAGCUUCGGAGAGCCGCAAGCAGGCUUUAACCCGGAGAUAUCCGAAUGGGGAAACCCACCGGCGGUAAAGCGUCGGUACUGCGACAUGAAUAGAUAGUGUUGUAAGAGCGAGACCCGCUGAAGUGAAACAUCUCAGUAAGCGGAGGAAAAGAAAGCGAAGCGAUUCCCUGAGUAGUGGCGAGCGAAAGGGGAGCAGCCCAAACCGUGGGGAUUAAUCCUUGCGGGGUUAGGACUCAGACGUGGACUUAUAUUAGAUAGAAGAACGGUGUGGAAAAGCCGGCCAAAGAGGGUGAGAGUCCCGUAUUUGAAAUUUAAUAUAUACCUAUGAGUAUCCAGAGUAGCACCGGACACGUGAAACCUGGUGUGAAAGAGUGCAGACCACUGCAUAAGGCUAAAUACAAGGUGUCGACCGAUAGUGAACAAGUACCGUGAGGGAAAGGUGAAAAGGACCCCUGUUAGGGGAGUUAAAAGUACCUGAAACCUGUUGCCUACAAGCGGUCAGAGCCCCUAGUGGGGUGAUGGCGUACCUUUUGCAUAAUGGGCCUAGGAGUCUAUGUCAGUUGCGAGCUUAAGCGUUUACGACGUGGAGGCGAAGCGAAAGCGAGUCUUAAUAGGGCGGUAGUAACUGGGAUAGAACCCGAAGCGGAGGCGAUCUAGCCAUGGCCAGGCUGAAGCAUCGGUAACACGAUGUGGAGGGCCGAACCCAUUAACCUUGAGAAGUUAAGGGAUGAGCUGUGGUUAGGAGUGAAAGGCUAAUCAAGCCCCGUAAUAGCUGGUUCUCUCCGAAAUAUAUUUAGGUAUAGCGUCAAAUGCUGAUUACCGGGGGUAAAGCACUGAAAAGGCUAGGGUUCACACCAGAAUACCGAACCUUAUCAAACUCUGAAUACCGGUGAGUGGAAUUUGGCAGUCAGUCAGUGGGGGAUAAGCUUCAUUGGCGAGAGGGAAACAUCCCAGACCAUCGAAUAAGGUCCCAAAGAUAGUGCUAAGUGGUAAGAAGGAUGUAAGUUUUCAUAGACAAUGGGGAUGUUGGCUUAGAGGCAGCCAUCAUUUAAAAAGUGCGUAAUAGCUUACCCAUCGAGAGAAUUUGCGCCGAAAAUGAUCGGGACUAAGUACUACACCGAAUUUGUGGAAUUAGUAAUAAUUGGUAGGAGAGCGUUCCAACAUCGUAGAAGGCGGAGCGGUGAGCGACGUUGGAGAGGUUGGAAGUGAGAAUCUAGGCAUGAGUAACGAAAAGCAUGGUCAAAAUCCAUGCCGCCGUAAGGAUAAGGUUUCCUGGGGAAGGUUCGUCCGCCCAGGGUUAGUCGGGAGCUAAGGCGAGGCCGUAAGGAGUAGUCGAUGCACAACGGGUUAAUAAUCCCGUACCGGCUUGGUAAUGUUUGAGUUGCAUAUUGACGGAUGAGUGGAUGCUGGCGAGGUGAUGAACGUCCUCGUCUAAGGUGUUGUAAGGCACUGAUGGGACUUUGAGGCUACGGCCGAGGGGGAUCAGCAAUAGCUAAUUCCAGGAAAAUUUAUGCAAUUAAUUAUCAGGUUGCCCGUACCGCAAACCGACACAGGUAUCCGGGAUGAGUAUUCUAAGGCGCGUGAGUUAAAUCUCUCCAAGGAACUCGGCAAAAUGGCCCCGUAUCUUCGGUAGAAGGGGUGCCAACGCGAGUUGGUCUCAGUAAAGAGGCCCAACCGACUGUUUAUCAAAAACACAGCUCUCUGCCAAGUCGCAAGACAACGUAUAGGGAGUGACAUGUGACCAAUGCGGAAAGGUGAAAACUGCUUGUGAAAGCUUGUGGUCUAAGCCCCCGUGAAUGUCGGCCGUAACUAUAACGGUCCUAAGGUAGCGAAAUUCCUUGUCGGGUAAGUUCCGACCUGCACGAAUCAUGUAACGAGUUGGGUGCUGUCUCAGGGAGAAGCUCAGUGAAAUUGUAGUCGCGGUUAAGAUGCCGCGUACCCGCAGAAGGACGGGAAGACCCUAUGAACCUUUACUGUAAACUGAUAUUGUCGUUUGAUUUUUAAUACGUAGGAUAGCCGGGAGGCUUUGAGUUGUCACUCCAGGGUGAUGAUGAGCCGCAAUGUGAAAUACCGGUUUUUAACUAUUAGGCGUCUAACCACAUACCGUAAGCCGGUUGUGGGACAGUGUUAGUGG
rnacentral:rRNA from 1 species